rnacentral:rRNA from 1 species
CCUACGGGCGACAGCAGUGGGGAAUAUUGCACAAUGGGGGAAACCCUGAUGCAGCGACGCCGCGUGAGUGAAGAAGUAUUUCGGUACGUAAAGCUCUAUCAGCAGGGAAGAAAAUGACGGUACCUGACUAAGAAGCCCCGGCUAACUACGUGCCAGCAGCCGCGGUAAUACGUAGGGGGCAAGCGUUAUCCGGAUUUACUGGGUGUAAAGGGAGCGUAGACGGCAGCGCAAGUCUGGAGUGAAAUCCCAUGGCUUAACCAUGGAACUGCUUUGGAAACUGUGCAGCUAGAGUGCAGGAGAGGUAAGCGGAAUUCCUAGUGUAGCGGUGAAAUGCGUAGAUAUUAGGAGGAACACCAGUGGCGAAGGCGGCUUACUGGACUGUAACUGACGUUGAGGCUCGAAAGCGUGGGGAGCAAACAGGAUUAGAUACCCCAGUAGUC